AAAAUGGUGUUUUUAAACACCAUUCUCUCUCUACAUAUAUAGAUAU
rfam:Sus scrofa chromosome 2.